UUCUUGAGUGUGUACUUGUUAAGCCUUUUAAGAAAAAAGUUAUUAACUUAAGGAAUUAUAACAAAGAAGCAACACGUAAAUGGAUUUUCCAUUUUUUAGUGUGUAUCAAUCGAGUUUCUGACCUAUCAGCUUUUGAUGUUAGGGUAUUGGCCUAACAUGGCUAUGACGGGUAACGGGGAAUUAGAGUUCGAUUCCGGAGAAGGAGCCUGAGAAAUAGCUACCACAUCUAAGGAAGGCAGCAGGCGCGUAAAUUACCCAAUUCUAAAGAAGAGAGGUAGUGACAAGAAAUAACAAUACAAGGCCGAUCUGGCUUUGUAAUUGGAAUGAUGGGAAUUUAAAACCUUCCCAAAACUCAAUUGGAGGGCAAGUCUGGUGCCAGCAGCCGCGGUAAUUCCAGCUCCAAUAGCGUAUAUUAAAAUUGUUGCAGUUAAAACGCUCGUAGUUGAAUUUCAAAGAAUCGAUAUUUUAAGUAGCACUUUGUAGAUUAAUCCACAUAACUGAUACUACGUAUCGACUUUGUGCGAAUUUUUCUACUUAUGUGUUCUUUUAAUUAAAAUGAUUCUUUUUAAGAUCUUUCUUUUUUGCUUCGGCAUUUUAGGAGAUCUUGUUACUUUGAGUAAAUUAGAGUGUUCAAAGCAAACAGAUUAUAGCAUCUUUAUGCGUUUGAAUACUACAGCAUGGAAUAACAAAAUUGAACAAGUCAGAAUUUUGUUCUUUUUUCUUAUUUUGGCUUAGUUACGAUUAAUAGGAGUAGCUUGGGGGCAUUUGUAUUCAGAUGUCAGAGGUGAAAUUCUUAGAUUUUCUGGAGACAAACAACUGCGAAAGCAUUUGCCUAAAAUACUUCCAUUAAUCAAGAACGAAAGUUAAGGGAGUGAAGACGAUCAGAUACCGUCGUAAUCUUAACCAUAAACUAUGCCGACUAGGC
rnacentral:rRNA from 1 species